GGAGGCUGGAGAGUGAAUCAGUCUGGGCCGAUGAUCUGAACCCAGGUGGUCCAGCCCUGUGGCCUGUCUCCACCAUGACUCUUAGGCCGAGCCACAGCCACCACCAUACUUGCAGCAAGCACUCCCUUGGGAGCUGACUGUGGGCCAGGCCCAGCGCGAAUGGCUUAGACAUGGGGUCUCAUUUAAUCCUCACUCUAGGACCACAAGGCCGGCAAGCCCAUCUUCCUCCCACCCUCUGAAUCUGAAUCCAAGGGUUACAUGAGCCUGAUCUCUGCAGUCAAGACUCCCCUGCUCUGCUGAGUCUCCUUGACCUUCUUCAUGUAGAGUCACAGCUGGGCUCGGACACACAGAACUGGUGUGACUACACACGGGUCAGCAUGCACUGGUCACGCAGCUUGGACCUGCGGAGCAAGCCCAGGCUACCAAAGGCCAGCCCCAGCUAUUUUAAUCUCUCCAGUCCUCGUCCCCGCCUCUCCCCUUGGCAGCCAUUUUUUUGAGGGGAAGUUGCCAAGUGGAUGGCUCUGAGGAUGGCCACUUCUGGUACAUGGCCUUACUGAGCCCCUGGGCUGACUCUUCACGAUCUUCGGAACUGAUUCAAAUAAAGAGAGCUAUCUGAGUCCCGGUCUCUACGAGACAACUCACGACCGAAAAUUCAAACACACGGUAAAAAGCAGCAAAGAAGGAGGCCACGGCGAAGGUGCAGCGGGCGAAGUACCUGCCACAGAAGUGUGAGGAUCUGAGUUCAGAGCUCCCGAGCUCAAUAAAGCUGUAUGCACCCCUUAUACCAGGGCUGCUAUGUCCCCAUAGGGGGCAGAGACAGGCUAAGCUUCUGGGUCAGCUGAUCUGCCGUCUGAGGCAGGGAAAAAGAGGCCGGUUUCAAACGAGGUAGGUAGGAGGGGAGCGCCAACUUCUAAAGCUGUCCUCUGUCCUCCGGCCUUCACCCAGGCUCCUUGACAGAACACACGAGGCACGUGUGCAUACUCACGCCUUGCACGCAUUUUGAAAGAGAGAGAGAAGGAGAAGAGACAGUUUGAAAAGGAAUAAAAGCACAGUGGACUGGGCCUGCUAUCCUGCCAGGCAAGGCAGCCUCCCUCCUCCCCUGCCGCCCUCCGCCCUAAAACUCCCAACACAUCUGCAGCAAUUCAGACCUGACACCGGCAGCAGCACAGGUGUCAGCCUUCACAAGGUGACAGCACAGCCAUUCUGACAACUGACCUUUCCUGCUGCUCACGCCAGCUCCAGGCUCCCGGGCAGGCAGAGGGGCCGACCUCACCACGAACUUAGGGAGUUUGCAAAGAAAGUCCAGAAAGCCUAACAUUCAAGUCACAGCACCGUCACACACCAGGCAAUCUGUGUGGGUCUGUUUCCUCCAAGGCUUCCAGUGACCCCAGGGAUGAAAGUACCUGGCCCUUGUUUCCCAAUAGGUGACUAAACCUGGGUUCAAACCUGAGCCAAGCCCGGGCAGUGGCAAUUCGUGAGUCACUCCUGCUAGUUCAAGGGACAGAGCUGUGCCCCACAAUCUGGGAGGAUGCGCCCCACAGUCUGCUGGGAUGUCUUCCCUUCCAGGCUGUUCCUCCAAAGGCCUGCCGCAGGGGAGUACUUCUCUCUUUGGAAGGAGGGAGGAGAAUCGUGCAACCUGAACAGGCUGGGAAGGAAGUACCCCUGAAUUCGUUUGCAAAACUCCACUCUGCUGCCCCCACUUUCAGGACCGGCUUUCAGCAGGAAAGAGGCUUCCAAGGGCCCCACCUCCUGGGCCUCCUGGGGGAGGGGCUGCUGCCUUCUGCCUUGCUCCAUUUAUUACCCUUGUCACCACCAGGGUCUCAGGGGACCGAGGCGCUUUGGGGGAGCCAAGGCUGUCCAGGAGCAGAGCUGACAGCUGGAGGCUGGGGGUGGGGUGACUUCAAAGGCUGGCAAGGAUCAAAAGCAGAUGGAGGGUCCCAGGCGGUGGGUCCACUCACCUUUCCUAGCACAGGGCUACCUUGGCUGAGCACAGGGCGCCUUUCCCUGGGAGAAGCAGAGAGGGCAGAUGGGCCAGGAGAGCUUUGGAGACUCAACACUCCACAUCCACAGAGGGCUUGAAAUCGAAGCCUGAUGACAGCACUCAUGAGCUUCUGGGUAGACAGCUGGGGCCCGAACCCAGCCUCGCCGGCUGCCUCACCCCCUUUGAUUUCAAUUCCAAAAGCGUCGGCUGAUCUUUAACAGCCUGGACGCCAUCUCCCUGAGGUGGGGACAGGUGUUCACACAGAAAGCCAUCUUCUCCUGUCUCCUGCAGCUCUUGAGUCUGAUCCAUCACCAGGUCCUGCCAAGCUCACUUCCACGGCCACCACUCUGUUCCUGGCCACCACCUUCUCUGGCACUGAAUGCUGCUGUGGUCCCCACACCCAUCUCUCCCUGAGGCCACUCUGGCCUCCCUCCAAGUGCCUUCUCUGUGCUGGCUGAUAGCUCAGAUCUGAGCCCCCUUGCCGUCCUUGCAUGACCUCAGGAUGUUUCCUGUUGUCCUUAUCUUGGAAGGAGCCUUUGAACCAGCCUUACUCUGGCAUCUCCUUUUCAGGCCUUCUUCAAGCUCCAUCUCCUAAGAGGGCCUCUCUGCACACAGUUUUCUCUGCCUGCAACGCCAUUCCCUGUGGCUCCGUUUCAAAGGACUCGGCUAUCAUGUGUUUGUCCCAGUCCUGAGUGACCCUCUGUUCCCAUCUUUUAAACUCCACUCACGGCAUGUUUUGUACGUGUAUACUGAGAAUUUAAUGUCCAUCCAUCUCCCACACCACACUUCAAGCCAUCUCGUGGCAGGGAUUUUGCCUGUUUAAAAGGUUCCUCUUCUAGUCCCCUAAUCUGCGGGGAUUUUUAGUAGUGGUUUUCAUAAAUAUUUGUGGCAUGAUAACUGAAUGAACUCUUGUGAAUAA